AUUCCUGGGCACACAACAAAAGGAAAAAAACAAAGUUUGACAGUGGCAAGUCUGAGAAAGGAAUUAAAAAGAAAAGACGAAAUUACUACACAGGACUUAAAGAAAAGGCUGCGCCUCAUGAAGACACUCAAACAAAGCCUGAAAGAAGGUCCUGGACACGUGCUGAGGUCAAAGCUGUGGAAAAGACCCUCAAGACCUUCAUUGAUACUGGAAAAGUACCAGGAAAGUCUGACUGCAUUGCCUGUAUUUCUGCUUCUCCACAAGAACUCAAAAAUAGAACCUGGUCUGGUGUUAAGUUUUAUGUCAAAAAUCGCAUUGCUGCGAUUUCAAAGAAAGAAUUCUAAAAGAAUUUGAUAAUUUUGUGUUCUGUCCUGUUGGACUUUCACAACCUGAAACUUAGACCUGAACUAAAGAGCUCAAUGUCUUUUUUUUUUUAGUUUUCUCCUUA